GUUGUAAAUUAGUUGUUGCUGGUUGCUGCUAAGCAAUCUUAAUCCUGAAAACUUCACAACUGUUAUAGUUGUUUUUUGAUAUUUUUUUACGCACUUUACUUGUUUCUCCCACUACCUGGACACUCAUGGAUUUUGUUAAUUAUUUUUUUAGUGAGCAUCUAACUUCAAACUGGACUAUGUUAUUUUUUUAUUAACUUCAUUUUUUAUUUAUUGUUGAUGUAACCUCACUAGAAUAUGACAGCAUCAACAAAUGAUGGCGCUGUAUUAAAAUUCUGUUCUCCAAUAUCAAGACACUAUUGCAAGUAGCAAGUAAACAGUUACUUGUCGCAAUUCUCAGUCUCUAGUCCAAUCUGUCAAAAAUAUUUACUUGCUCCAAAAACUAAGUGUCAAAAAUGGGUUCGCUGACAAGCAGACAAAACGCCGGAGUGGAAGAAGUUGACAUAGUAUCAAACCACGCGUAUAAAUAUCCCCCGAGAUCAGGCAACUACUUCGGAAGUCACUUCAUCAUGGGAGGAGAGAGGUUUGACACGCCGCAGCCGGAGGCUUAUUUGUUUGGAGAAAAUGCGGACUUGAACUUCCUGGGAAGUAGGCCGACACCUUUUCCGUACCCUCCUCCGCAGGCAAAUGACCCAACCAAGACACUAAAGAGUCUGGCUAACAUCAGAAAGGAAUCUCUGAGGCUGACCAAGAGCAUUGAUCCCGUGCCGACGUCCUCAGAGUCUAAUGACACCAUCAAUGCGAUUAAACACUUUGGAGAAGGGGAUGUUGAUAAAAAGACCACUAGGUUUAAUAUUGAGUUUACUUUUGAUUGCGAUGUCAGAUGUGCAAUUACUAUUUAUUACUUUUGUACUGAGGAAGUCACUGCCAAAGGAGUCUCAUAUGUACCGAGAGAUCCAUCAAUGAACUCCGAGACAUAUCACUACAAAAAAGGAGCAAACCAACAGUUCAUCCAAACGUCCCACGUCUUCGACCCGAGUCUUUACAACGAAGAAGACUUGCUCUACAACACAGACCGCGAGAUAGUCCCAAUAGCUAUCCACUGCGUAGCUGAGGAAGGCUCAGAAGAACCCAAGCAGUCACACACGACGAUAGCGGUCGUGGAGAAGCAGUCUGACGGGUCUUACAUCUUAAAAGCUCUCAAGCAGAAGCUCUACGUCGACGGUUUGUGUUAUUUACUCCAGGAAAUUUACGGAAUAGAAAACAAAAAUACUGAAAACACAAAGCAGCAAGGGAGCGACGAAGAUGCUGAAGAUAAUGGCUCAGAGUGUGUUAUUUGCAUGUGUGAUGUUCGGGAUACUUUGAUCCUGCCUUGUAGACAUCUGUGUCUUUGUUACGGAUGCGCUGACUCUCUGAGGUACCAAGCUAACAAUUGUCCGAUCUGCAGAGCUCCUUUCCGUGCUCUUCUUCAAAUCAAGGCGCUUCAAAAGGCCACUGGUGCUAUUAUUUCUAAUCCUCCGAUGCCUGAAGGAAGCUGUGAGAAUAUUCCCUCGGGGUACGAAGCUGUUUCUUUGAUAGAAGCCUUGAAUGGCCCGUAUACGCCGAGAGUCGUUGUUCCAGCUCCAGAAUCUCCUGAUACUCCUGAUACUGAUACUGCUAGCGCUAUCCAGGCAGCUGAAAUUUUAAAUAGUAAAACUACCCCAUUGCAGAUCUGCAGAACGAACACCAGUGUCGAAACACACGGGUCUAAAAGACGGCGAAACGGGAGCUGCGAUAGCGAGGUCCAACAAUGCGACACCCUGCCCUACUCCGGAGUUCCGCAUGUCUGUCCUGUUGGCCAGAGACGAGACUGUCGUCAACCAGAAGGAGUUGCAUGGACGCUCCCCGGGUAUGCGGGCCAAAACCAGUCAUCCGCGUGAGAAAAAUUCCAUCAGAACUCGGGAUACUUUGAGACUUGUCAAUGAGAAGCAGCCUCACUACGACGUACAGGGCCAAGACGAGGACAGUGAAGCAGAAAAAUUAUCACCUCUUCUAGAUUCAGCAGCUAGCACCGACCCCAGAGAAUCUCACCACCGCAUCUGCGACCUGGACAUUGACGAUGAAAUGACCAGCAAUGUCAAU
rnacentral:misc_RNA from 1 species